rnacentral:rRNA from 1 species
GGACGAACGCUGGCGGCGUGCUUAACACAUGCAAGUCGAGCGAGAUCCAUCCAGUGGCAACACUGGUGAAGAUCUAGCGGCGAACGGGUGAGUAACACGUGAGCAACCUGCCCCGAAGACCGGGAUAACAGCGGGAAACCGCUGCUAAUACCGGAUGCCCUCACCGGGCCGCAUGACCUGGUGAGGAAAUGGCUGAGUCUUAAUAAACUCAGUCCGCUUCGGGAGGGGCCGCGGGCUAUCAGCUUGUUGGUGAGGUAACGGCUCACCAAGGCUACGACGGCUAGCUGGUCUGAGAGGACGACCAGCCACACUGGGACUGAGACACGGCCCAGACUCCUACGGGAGGCAGCAGUGGGGAAUCUUGCGCAAUGGGCGAAAGCCUGACGCAGCAACGCCGCGU